rnacentral:rRNA from 1 species
GACGUAGGGCGCGAGCGUUGUUCGGAUUUACUGGGCGUAAAGCGUGCGCAGGCGGUUUUGUAAGUCUGUCGUGAAAGCCCCGGGCUCAACCUGGGAAUUGCGAUGGAGACUGCAAGGCUUGAAUCUGGCAGAGGGGGGUAGAAUUCCACGUGUAGCAGUGAAAUGCGUAGAGAUGUGGAGGAACACCGAUGGCGAAGGCAGCCCCCUGGGUCAAGAUUGACGCUCAUGCACGAAAGCGUGGGGAGCAAACAGG